rnacentral:rRNA from 1 species
GUAUGGGUAGUCGAAGGACAUGCGAAAGGUCCGGCGUAGAGGGUAAGACCCCCGUAGACGAAACCUGUACGGCUCGCUUGAGCUUCUCCCAAGUAGCACGGGGCCCGAGAAAUCCCGUGUGAAUCUGGCGGGACCACCCGCUAAGCCUAAAUAUUCCCUGGUGACCGAUAGCGGAUAGUACCGUGAGGGAAUGGUGAAAAGUACCGCGGGAGCGGAGUGAAAUAGUACCUGAAACCGUGUGCCUACAAGCCGUGGGGGCAGCCUUCGGGCUGUGACUGCGUGCCUUUUGAAGAAUGAGCCUGCGAGUUUGCGGUGUGUAGCGAGGUUAACCCGUGUGGGGUAGCCGUAGCGAAAGCGAGUCCGAAUAGGGCGUCUGAGUUGCAUGCCCAAGACCCGAAGCGGAGUGAUCUAGCCAUGGGCAGGUUGAAGCGCGGGUAAGACCGUGUGGAGGACCGAACCCACCAGGGUUGAAAACCUGGGGGAUGACCUGUGGUUAGGGGUGAAAGGCCAAUCAAACUCCGUGAUAGCUGGUUCUCCCCGAAAUGCAUUUAGGUGCAGCGUCGCGUGUUUCUUGCCGGAGGUAGAGCACUGGAUAGGCGAUGGGCCUUACCGGGUUACUGACCUUAGCCAAACUCCGAAUGCCGGUAAGUGAGAGCGCGGCAGUGAGACUGUGGGGGAUAAGCUCCAUGGUCGAGAGGGAAACAGCCCAGAACACCGACUAAGGUCCCUAAGCGUGUGCUAAGUGGGAAAGGAUGUGGAGUCGCAGAGACAACCAGGAGGUUGGCUUAGAAGCAGCCACCCUUGAAAGAGUGCGUAAUAGCUCACUGGUCAAGUGAUUCCGCGCCGACAAUGUAGCGGGGCUCAAGCACACCACCGAAGUCGUGUCAUUGCAGCAAUACUCCCAACGGAGGCUGUGAUGGGUAGGGGAGCGUCGUGUGCCGGGUGAAGCAGCCGAGGAAUCGAGUUGUGGACGGUUCACGAGUGAGAAUGCAGGCAUGAGUAGCGAUACAAGAGUGGGAAACUCUUGCGCCGAUUGACCAAGGGUUCCUGGGUCAAGCUGAUCUGCCCAGGGUAAGUCGGGACCUAAGGCGAGGCCGACAGGCGUAGUCGAUGGACAACGGGUUGAUAUUCCCGUACCCGCUUU